CACAAAAUGGCUGAAGUUUUAGGCGGUUGGUUGUAAACCUUCUCAUGAGUCUCCUCUUUUGUGA
rnacentral:tRNA from 1 species